rnacentral:tRNA from 1 species
UCGGAUAUAGCUCAGCGGGAGAGCGCCGGAUUUGGGUCCGGAGGUCGCAGGUUCGAAUCCUGCUGUCUGAACCA